CGCGUAGGCGGCUCUGUAAGUCCGACGUGAAAGCCCCUGGCUUAACUGGGAGAGGUCGUUGGAUACUGCAAAGCUCGAGGUUAGGAGAGGAAAGUGGAAUUCCCGGUGUAGUGGUGGAAUGCGUAGAUAUCGGGAGGAACUCCAGUGGCGAAAGCGACUUUCUGGCCUACACCUAACGCUGAAGCGCGAAAGCGUGGGGAGCGAACA
rnacentral:rRNA from 1 species